GAUGAACGCUGGCGGCGUGCUUAACACAUGCAAGUCGAACUGUGAAGGCGGAGCUUGCUCUGCUGGAUCAGUGGCGAACGGGUGAGUAACACGUGAGCAAUCUGCCCCUGACUCUGGGAUAAGCUCUGGAAACGUCGUCUAAUACUGGAUACGAGCUGCGAAGGCAUCUUCAGCAGCUGGAAAGAACUUCGGUCCGGGAUGAUCUCUCGGCCUAUCAGCUUGUUGGUGAGGUAACGGCUCACCAAGGCGUCGACGGGUAGCCGGCCUGAGAGGGUGACCGGGCAAACUGGGACUGAGACACGGCCCAGACUCCUACGGGAGGCAGCAGUGGGGAAUAUUGCAAAAUGGGAGAAAGCCUGAUGCAGAAACGCCGCGUGAGGGACGACGGCCUUCGGGUUGUAAAACUCGUUUAGCAGGGAAGAAGAGAAAGUGACGGUACCUGCAGAAAAAGCGCCGGCUAACUACGUG
rnacentral:rRNA from 1 species